UACGGAGGGGGCUAGCGUUGUUCGGAAUUACUGGGCGUAAAGCGCACGUAGGCGGCUUUGUAAGUUAGAGGUGAAAGCCUGGAGCUCAACUCCAGAAUUGCCUUUAAGACUGCAUCGCUUGAAUCGCGGAGAGGUGAGUGGAAUUCCGAGUGUAGAGGUGAAAUUCGUAGAUAUUCGCAAGAACACCAGUGGCGAAGGCGGCUCACUGGCCCGAUACUGACGCUGAGGCACGAAAGCGUGGGGAGCAAACAGG
rnacentral:rRNA from 1 species